CGCCCUGCACUCUGGGAUAAGCCUGGGAAACUGGGUCUAAUACCGGAUAGGACCAUGCUUUAGUGUGUGUGGUGGAAAGUUUUUUCGGUGUAGGAUGAGCCCGCGGCCUAUCAGCUUGUUGGUGGGGUAAUGGCCUACCAAGGCGGCGACGGGUAGCCGGACUGAGAGGUUGGUCGGCCACAUUGGGACUGAGAUACGGCCCAG
rnacentral:rRNA from 1 species